GACGAACGCUGGCGGCGUGCUUAACACAUGCAAGUCGAACGGAAAGGCCCUGCUUUUGUGGGGUGCGCGAGGGGCGAACGGGUGAGUAACACGUGAGUAACCUGCCACUGACUUUGGGAUAACUUCAGGAAACUGGGGCUAAUACCGGAUAGGAGCUACUGCUGCAUGGUGGGGGUGGGAAAGUUUCGGCGGUUGGGGAUGGACUCGCGGCUUAUCAGCUUGUUGGUGGGGUAGUGGCAUACCAAGGCUUGGACGGGUAGCCGGCCUGCGAGGGUGACCGGCCACAUUGGGACUGAGCUACGGCCCAGCCUCCUACCGGAGGCAACAGUGGAGAAUAUUGCACAGUAGGCGGAAGCCUGAUGCAGCACCGCCGCGUGCGGGAUGUCGGCCUUCGGGUUGUGAACCGCUUUCGCCUGUGCCGAAGCGUGAGUGACGGUAAUGGGUAAAUAAGCACCGGCUAACUACGUG
rnacentral:rRNA from 1 species